rnacentral:rRNA from 1 species
AAAGACUAAAACAUGCAAGACGAACGGAGCAUGUUAUUGCGGUAGAAUUCUUAGGGGCGAACGGGUGAGUAACGCGUAGGCAACCUACCCUUUAGACGGGGACAACAUCCGAAAGGAGUGCUAAUACCGGAUGUGAUCAUUGUGCCGCAUGGCAGGAUGAAGAAAGAUGGCCUCUACAAGUAAGCUAUCGCUAAAGGAUGGGCCUGCGUCUGAUUAGCUAGUUGGUAGUGUAACGGACUACCAAGGCGAUGAUCAGUAGCCGGUCUGAGAGGAUGAACGGCCACAUUGGGACUGAGACACGGCCCAAACUCCUACGGGAGGCAGCAGUGGGGAAUCUUCCGCAAUGGACGAAAGUCUGACGGAGCAACGCCGCGUGAGUGAUGAAGGAUUUCGGUCUGUAAAGCUCUGUUGUUUAUGACGAAUGUGCAGUGUGUGAACAAUGCAUUGCAAUGACGGUAGUAAACGAGGAAGCCACGGCUAACUACGUGCCAGCAGCCGCGGUAAUACGUAGGUGGCGAGCGUUGUCCGGAAUUAUUGGGCGUAAAGAGCAUGUAGGCGGCUUAAUAAGUCGAGCGUGAAAAUGCGGGGCUCAACCCCGUAUGGCGCUGGAAACUGUUAGGCUUGAGUGCAGGAGAGGAAAGGGGAAUUCCCAGUGUAGCGGUGAAAUGCGUAGAUAUUGGGAGGAACACCAGUGGCGAAGGCGCCUUUCUGGACUGUGUCUGACGCUGAGAUGCGAAAGCCAGGGUAGCGAACGGGAUUAGAUACCCCGGUAGUCCUGGCCGUAAACGAUGGGUACUAGGUGUAGGAGGUAUCGACCACUUCUGUGCAGGAGUUAACGCAAUAAGUACACCGCCUGGUAAGUACGGCCGCAAGGUGGAGCCUCACAGGGA